CAAGCUCCAAAUUGGUCCCAUUUCUCUCCCAUGCCUUUCUUGCGCAUCCUCGACCUUAGUUUUAAUAAUCUUGUGUCGAAAUUCCCAGAAUUUAUAUCCAAUUCUCAUAGCCUGACUCACCUUAACCUUUCAAAUAACAAGUUUACUGGUCAUCUUGUGCAUAAAUUUACCAAUCUACAAAAUCUUGAAACCCUCUACCUUCAGAUCAAUUCUUUUGAGGGGCCGUUUCCACCAGAUAUAGUCCAGCUUUCCAAAUUAAAACGACUCUCCCUGUCAUGUAACAAAUUUUCAGGUUCAAUUCCCAAUGACGUAAGGUUGCUUUUUGGUCUUGAAUCCCUAAAUUUAGGCAACAAUUCCUUUGAAGGACCGCUUCCACCAGAUAUAUUCAAGCUUUCAAAGUUAAAACGACUUGUUCUUUGGAGUAAUAAGUUUUCAGGUUCUGUUUCCAAUGAUAUAGGUUUGCUUUCUGAGCUUGAAACCCUCCAUCUUUACUCUAAUUUUUUUGAGGGGCCACUUCCGCCAAAUUUAUUCAAGCUCUCCAAACUAAAAGAUCUCACCCUGUCAAGUAACAAAUUUUCAGGUUCAAUUCACAAUGAUAUAAGGUUACUUUGUGAUCUUGAAGACCUAUAUUUAGCUAACAAUUCCUUUGAAGGACCGCUUCCACCAGAUAUAUUCAAGCUUUCAAGAUUAAAACGUCUUUUUCUUUAGAGUAAUAAGUUUUCAGGUUCUGUUUCCAAUGAUAUAGGUUUGCUUUCUGAGCUUGAAAGCCUCGAUCUUAACUCCAAUUUUUUUGAGGGGCCGCUUCCGCCAAAUGUAUUCAAGCUCUCCAAACUAAAGAUUCUUUCCCUUUAUGAGAAUAACUUUUCAGGUUUUAUUUCUAAGGAUAUAGGUUUGCUUUCUGGACUUGAAACCCUCUAUCUUGACUCUAAUUUUUUUGAGGGUCCGCUUCCCCCACAUAUAUUUAGGCUGUCCAAAUUAAGAGAUCUGGACCUCUCAUACAGUAGAAAUUUAUUUGAAGGAAGUAUUCCUAUUGGACUGGGACUCUUGACUAACCUCAGGUACUUAGAUCUAUAUUCCAAUAAUCUCAGUGGCUAUAUUCCAUCUGACAUUGGAAACCUGAAGCUACUAGAAGGUCUUAUUCUCGGUUCUAAUAAAUUGACUGGACCAGUUUCAAAGAUCAUUUCUAAUCUCACAAAUCUUAUAUAUCUUGAUGUAAGUGAUAAUAGUCUUAGUGGAAAUAUUCAGAGUGACUUGUGGAAAUAUAACGAUCAUCCAACUUUGGAAUACAUCAAUUUAAGUGGGAACCAUUUUACGGGUAUAGUUUUUCUCUAUAGAUCUUUUCCUUUUCUCAUAUGUAACUAAGCUGGUAAUCUGAUUAUUGCAGUUUUACCAAAGUUUCAACAAUCUUGACAGGUGAGCUUCCAACAACAAUUUGCAAUGUCACUUCCCUUUCGGUUCUUGAUUUGUCAAAUAAUGCGUUAAGUGGUGCACUUCCAAACUGUUUCGGGAAUCUUGCUGAUGGAUUGCUUUACAUUAAUCUUGCUAAUAAUCAGUUUCGAGGAACAAUACCAACUACUUUCUCCAGGAGUUGUCAGCUGACAUAUCUAAACAUGGAUAAUAAUGAGUUUGAAGGAUUGGUGCCCCCAUCUUUGGCGAACUGCAAGCACUUGAAAAUUCUUGAUAUUGGCAAUAAUAAAAUAGGUGGUACAUUCCCGUCAUGGCUUUAUGUACUUGGAGAGCUAGAAGUCCUUGUCUUGCGAUCAAAUAAACUCUAUGGUACAAUAAGUGGAAGGAGCAUAGAAGAUCCCUUCCCCAAGUUGCGGAUUGUGGAUCUGUCCGAUAAUCAAUUCACAGGCCAUUUGCCAAUUCAAUACUUUAAGAAUAUGAAAUCAACUGAUAAUAUGUAUAAUUAUCUGAAUUCCACAGGAGGAAUAUAUUUCACUUAUGAAGCAGCAGUCUCAUUAACUGUGAAGGGAACAGAGUAUGAAGUGACAAAUAACCUUCAUAUUUACACAGCUAUUGAUCUGUCGUGCAACAAAUUUCAGGGUGAAAUUCCAAAAAUUAUUGGAGAGCUUAGAUGGCUUGCAUUGCUCAAUUUAUCGCAUAAUAGUCUGACAGGACAUAUCCCAUCAUUUCUGAGAAAUAUGAAAGAACUCCAAUCUUUAGAUUUGUCCUCAAAUCAACUGACAGGGGCCAUUCCACCUCAGUUAACUGCAUUGACAUUUCUAAAGGUCUUAAAUCUCUCGAAAAACCAUCUCAGUGGAGAGAUUCCUCAGGAAGGACAGUUCAGCACAUUCAACAAUGAUUCUUAUCUAGGAAACUCCGCGUUAUGUGGAUUACGUCUGACAAAGAAAUGUGCAAACACAGCAGGGAUUCCUCAGAAAGGACAGUUCAGCACAUUCAACAAUGAUUCUUAUAUAGGAAACUCCGCGUUAUGUGGAUCACCUUUGACGAAGAGAUGUGCAAACACAGCAUCACCUCCACAACAAGUCGGAAAUGGUGAUGAAGAUGAUGCGGGAGAUGAAUUGAGAUGGGAAGCAAUCGUGAUGGGAUAUGGAUGUGGACUGAUAUGUGGAUUGUCAUCUGCGUACAUUGUUCUCAAACUAGGAAGGCCUUGGUGGGUUGUGAGAUAUGUCGAAGUACUGCAACUGAAGUUGAUGAAAAGAUAUGCUUGAAGAAUGGAACUGGCCGAUCAAAACGAACUCGAAAGCAGUUGUCCUUGUGGACAUUUCUGAACCAGUAGUGUACUAGCUGCAUAAGUAUUUGGUAUUAUGUAAUAAUCCACAUAUUCAAUAUCACACUCUUCCUGUGAGGAAACAAAUAUGGAGAAACAUUUCUAUUUACAAAACUUUUACCAUUAUACACUCUUAUAGUACUGGUUAAUAGUUUGUUGUUCAGCCUAGUCCUAAACUGAAAUUAUCAGUUCUAUGUGAGUAUGCUUUCAAAUAAGAAUUAGGUGAUCUGCCUAGUCCAAAACUACUCUAAUACUAUAUCGCUGGUAGUCUUUCAGUUCAUCCUAUUGUAUACAAUAGUUUCUUCCUUUGACACAAAAAUGUCUGCAGUCAGUGUCACCACCACAGGAAGUCGAAAAUGGUGAUGAAGAUUGAUUUGCGGAUUGUCUUAUGGGUACAUUUUUUUCAAAAAAGGAAGGCCUUGGUGGUUUGUGAGAUACAUCGAAGUGCUGCAACUUAAGUUGAUGUUACCAAGAAUGAAAAAUAUUGUUCGACCAAGAUCAACAACUUGAAAAUGUGUUCUGAAUCUGUAAUAAUAUUAAAAUAUUAAAAUAUUAUUCAUUUAACAAUAUCGUCCAAUCAAUUUAAUUGAUUAUCAUUUAAUCAAUAUAUAUAGAUGGAUAUUAAUUGUCUUCCCUAGCUCCAACCAAUGAUGAAAUAACCUCCCUAUAAAUCUAUUGAGUCAAAAUUGCAAACAACACUUUCAAAACAUAGGUGCCGAAUAGUCCUUAUUUUAAAUUAAUCAGAAUUGAAUAUUUGAUGGCGCUAAAAAAAUCUGUUGAAAUUAGCAGUUUAUAAGGCAUAUAAAUAGAAGUGUGCGUUACUUUAAGGAUUCAUGAUCAAGUUGAGGAGAAAUAUGCACAGUAUAUAAAGCCUCAUCAUCUUUUUCUCUUUGUUUUCUUUCUCUCAUUACUCCCAUCCAUUCUUACAACACUAGCUGAAACAAGACGAGAGGGAGAAGCUCUUGUGAAAUGGAAGAAUAGCCUAGCCCCUUCUUCUUUUCUCGACUCUUGGUCCCUCACCAAUCUCGAUAAUCUUUGUAACUGGACUGGCAUUACUUGUAACUCUGCAGGUUCAGUCUCUAAGAUUAACCUUUUUGAGAAACAACUUGAUGGAAUGUUGUCCGAGUUUGGUUUCACCUCAUUUCCACAUCUCAACAAUCUCACCCUUGCAGACAACUACUUCUCGGGUCCGAUACCACCAGCCAUUGAGAAUUUAACACAGCUUCAAUUUCUUGAUUUGAGCAAUAAUUAUCUAGAUGGUCCCAUUCCUUUCCAGGUUAGCAAUCUUCAGAGGUUGCUCAUCUUAAACCUGUCACAGAAUGCAUUGCAAGCUCCAAAUUGGUCCCAUUUCUCUCCCAUGCCUUUUUUGCGCAUCCUCAACCUCAGUAGCAAUCCUCUAGCGUCGAAAUUCCCAAAUUUCAUAUCCAAUUCUCAUGGCCUGACUCACCUUAGCCUUAAUUAUAACGAGUUUACUGGUGAUUUAGUACGUGAAUCAAUAUUUGCCAAUCUGCAUAAUCUUGAAGUCCUCGGUCUUGUUGACAAUUCUUUUGAGGGGCCAUUUCC
rnacentral:lncRNA from 1 species